GACGAACGCUGGCGGCGUGCUUAACACAUGCAAGUCGAACGGACGAGUGAGAUAAGUUUACUUAACUCACAAGUUAGUGGCGGACGGGUGAGUAACACGUGGAUAAUCUACCUGCAACACCGGGAUAACGCUGUGAAAACGGUGCUAAUACCGGAUACGUUCCCUUGUGCGCAUGUAUGAGGGAAGAAAGCUCAGGCGGUUGCAGAUGAGUCCGCGGCUGAUUAGCUAGUUGGUGAGGUAAAGGCUCACCAAGGCGAUGAUCAGUAGCCGGCCUGAGAGGGUGAACGGCCACACUGGGACUGAGACACGGCCCAGACUCCUACGGGAGGCAGCAGUGGGGAAUCUUCCGCAAUGGACGAAAGUCUGACGGAGCAACGCCGCGUGGGUGAAGAAGGCCUCGGUUGUAAGACCUGUCUUAUGGGAAGAAAAAUAGAACGGUACCAUAGGAAUAAAGACACCGGCUAACUACCGUCGCCGAGCCGCCGCCGGUAACGUAACCAGACAGCGUA
rnacentral:rRNA from 1 species